UGAGGAAUAUUGGUCAAUGGGCGCAAGCCUGAACCAGCCAUGCCGCGUGCGGGAAGAAGGCCUUCGGGUUGUAAACCGCUUUUGUCAGGGAAGAAAUCCUUUGAGCUAAUACCUCGGGGGGAUGACGGUACCUGAAGAAUAAGCACCGGCUAACUACGUGCCAGCAGCCGCGGUAAUACGUAGGGUGCAAGCGUUAAUCGGAAUUACUGGGCGUAAAGCGUGCGCAGGCGGUUAUGCAAGACAGAUGUGAAAUCCCCGGGCUCAACCUGGGAAUUGCAUCUGUGACUGCAUAGCUAGAGUACGGUAGAGGGGGAUGGAAUUCCGCGUGUAGCAGUGAAAUGCGUAGAUAUGCGGAGGAACACCGAUGGCGAAGGCAAUCCCCUGGACCUGUACUGACUCUCAUGCACGAAAGCUUGUGGAGCAAACA
rnacentral:rRNA from 1 species